rnacentral:rRNA from 1 species
CCUACGGGGCGCAGCAGUGAGGAAUAUUGGUCAAUGGGCGAAAGCCUGAACCAGCCAAGUCGCGUGAGGGAUGACGGUCCUACGGAUUGUAAACUUCUUUUGCCGGGGAGCAACUGGGUCCACGCGAGGGCUUUGCGAGAGUACCCGAAGAAAAAGCAUCGGCUAACUCCGUGCCAGCAGCCGCGGUAAUACGGAGGAUGCGAGCGUUAUCCGGAUUUAUUGGGUUUAAAGGGUGCGUAGGCGGGGUAUUAAGUCAGCGGUAAA